rnacentral:rRNA from 1 species
AUACGUAGGUGGCGAGCGUUGUCCGGAAUUACUGGGCGUAAAGGAUGCGUAGGUGGAUAUUUAAGUGGGAUGUGAAAUCCCCGGGCUCAACCCGGGAACUGCAUUCCAAACUGGGUAUCUAGAGUGCAGGAGAGGAAAGCGGAAUUCCUAGUGUAGCGGUGAAAUGCGUAGAUAUUAGGAGGAACACCAGUGGCGAAGGCGGUUUUCUGGACUGUAACUGACACUGAGGCAUGAAAGCGUGGGUAGCAAACAGGAUUAGAUCCCCUGGUAGUCCACGCCGUAAACGAUGGGUACUAGGUGUAGGAGGUAUCGACCCCUUCUGUGCCGUCGUUAACACAAUAAGUACCCCGCCUGGGGAGUACGGUCGCAAGACUAAAACUCAAAGGAAUUGACGGGG